AUUAAAAUUAUUAAUUUUAUUUUUUUUAAAUAAGAAUUUUAUAAAAGUAAUUUAUUUAUUUGUUGUUUUAGUAUUUAGUAAAAAUAAAUUUUAAGAUUUAUAGUUUAAUAGUAUUGUAAAAGAAUUUUUUAAAUUUAAAAAAGAAUAAAUUAGUACCUUUUGUAUCAGGGUUAAUUAAAAUUUUUAAUUUAUUUUUAAAUUCUCAAAAUAUAUAGAGUUAAUUUUAUUAUUAAUUUAUUGUUUUAUAAAUAUUUAAAAAAUAAUUUUAGUUUUGAAAUUUAAUUCGUUAUAUAAUAUUUAGUUAUUUAAGAAUUAAAUUUAAUUUAGAAUUUUAAAAGUUUUAUUUAUAAUUAUGAAUAAAUAUUAUUUUAAAUUUAAAUUAUUUUAGGGAUAAGCUUGAAAUUUUUAUAUAAUAAUAUGAUUAUUAAAUAAUUUUUAGGAAUAGAAAUUUUUAUAUAAGUUUGUAAAAAUUUAUUAUUUAGUUUUAUUUAAUUUAUUAUAGAUGUAUUUAUUUUUAUUAUUAAAUUUUAUAAAUUAAUAUUUUAUUUAUAGUAAUAAUGAUUAAAUUAGUAUAAUAAUUUAUUUAUGAAUUAUGAAUUCGGCAAAAAUUAUUUUCAUCUGUUUAACAAAAACAUAGUAUUAAGAUUUAUUUAAUAUAGAAUCUGCUCAAUGAUUAAUUAAAUAGCUGCAGUAUUUUGACUGUGCAAAGGUAGCAUAAUAAUUAGUCUUUUAAUUGAGGACUGGAAUGAAAGAUUUGAUGAGAAAUAAACUUUAUUAUUUAUAAAAUUAAAAUUUUAUUUUUAAGUAAAAAAGCUUAAAUAUUUUAAAGGGACGAUAAGACCCUAUAAAACUUUAUAAUUAUUUUAUUAAAAUAUUUGGUUAAUAAAAAUUUUAAUAUUUUUAAUUAUUUUAUUGGGGUGAUAAAAAAAAUUAUUUAACUUUUUUUAAAAAUUUACAUAAAUUAAUGAUAUAUUUUGAAUUAAAAAUUUUAAUUAAAUGAAAAAGUUACUUUAGGGAUAACAGCGUAAUUAAUUUUUUAAGUUCAAAUUUAAAAAUUAGUUUGCGACCUCGAUGUUGAAUUAAGAUUAAUCUUAGGUGCAAAAUUUUAAGUUUUAGGUCUGUUCGACCUUUAAAUUCUUACAUGAUUUGAGUUCAAACCGGUGUAAGCCAGGUUGGUUUCUAUCUUUUAAAAUUAUAUUUAUUUUAGUACGAAAGGAUUAAAUAAUUAGAUAAUAUUUUAUAGUAAAUGAAUAAAAUUAAUUUUAU
rnacentral:rRNA from 1 species